UGCGUAGGCGGGUUUAAAGGUCUGAUGUGAAAGCCCACGGCUCAACCGUGGAAUUGCGUUGGAAACCAUGAACCUUGAGGGAGUCAGAGGUAAGCGGAACUGAUGGUGGAGCGGUGAAAUGCGUUGAUAUCAUCAGGAACACCGGUGGCGAAAGCGGCUUACUGGGACUCUUCUGACGCUGAGGCACGAAAGCUAGGGGAGCGAACG
rnacentral:rRNA from 1 species